AAGUCGUAACAAGGUUUCCGUAGGUGAACCUGCGGAAGGAUCAUUAAUGAAUCUUGAAAGGGGUUGUAGCUGGCCUUCUUGUAUGAGAGGGCAUUUUGUGCACGCCCUGAUCACCAUCCAUUUCACACCUGUGCACCCUCUGUAGGAUUGGCUGUUGUAAUGUAAAGUCUCUGUUGACUUUGCCUUAUGUAUGGCCCUUCCUAUGUUUUAUAACAAACUAUUGUGUCUAAAGAAUGUUAAUUGCGUCUAACGCAUUUAUAUACAACUUUCAGCAACGGAUCUCUUGGCUCUC
rnacentral:misc_RNA from 1 species